rnacentral:rRNA from 1 species
GACGAACGCUGGCGGCGUGCUUAACACAUGCAAGUCGAGCGGUAAGGCCCUUUCGGGGUACGACGAGCGGCGAACGGGUGAGUAACACGUGGGUGACCUCGCCCUCCAGCUCUGGGAGUAAGCCUGGGAAACCGGGGUACUAAUACCGGAUAUGACUCCAUGACGCAUGUUGUGGGGUGGAAAGCCUUGUGCGGCUGAGGAUGGGCCCGCGGCCUAUCAGCUUGUUGGUGGGGUGAGGCCUACCAAGGCGACGACGGGUAGCCGGCCUGAGAGGGCGACCGGCCACACUGGGACUGAGACACGGCCCAGACUCCUACGGGAGGCAGCAGUGGGGAAUCUUGCGCAAUGGGCGAAAGCCUGACGCAGCGACGCCGCGUGAGGGAUGACGGCCU